rnacentral:lncRNA from 1 species
CGAACAGUUGCAAGUAGCUCACAUUGUGCUUCAUGGUCCAAUAAUCUUUACUACCAUAAUUUUGAAGGGCCCAGAUUGAUGCUUCAGCAGCACCAUAAUAUAUGACGUACAAUUGUUGUCGUGAUACAUAAACAUAAGGACCACAAUGAGCAUCAUGUAAAGUAGGAGAAGGAAUGAAACGACAGUUUCCCUCCACAUCGACAGCUGCAACCAAAUUAUUAUAAGAACAUAAGUACAACAACCUGCUAAGAAAUGUGCCACCGGAAAAAUUGUAUAUCUCAAUUGGAUCGUUCCAUUCAAUUUGAUGUGUCCAACCUCCAGCUUUGGAUGAGUAGAUCCCUACCUCUUCGAUGUUAUAAUCAAACUUCAAUUUUACAUUGAAAGCCAUGGCAGGUACAAAGUCGAACAUAAGGAAAUAGAAGACGGCUGGGUCAAAUCCUAGGCGAACAUACGACGACGAGGACCAUUCAUUGGCAGGGACGAUUACCCAUUUCUCGGCAGCAAAGAAGGGGCGGUCACCCCUCGAUUCCGAUGAUUUGGAAGAGGUUCAUCCUCAUCGACAUUGGAGGAGAAGCUAUGUUGCUCGUUGAAGCUUCCGUCCUCCCUCGGAUGAUUAGGGAACGACAACCCAUUGUCGGGCUUCGACGCUUUGCCGUUAAUUCUUCUAGUUGAAGGGCGGCCUUAUGGAGUUCAUUUGCCAUGGCUCUUUCUCAUCCCAUCGACCUGGUUGUGGCAGUUCGGCUUUGGUUUGGACUCCAGCCGUCCCAAACAGUUUCAUCCCUAGCAACGGUGGGAGUGGGAUCACAUGUUUUUCUUUUCUUUUUCUUUUUUGAGGACAGAGUAGGAGAAACUACUCCGAAGGAGCAUUAAACUCGGACAACAUCAACGAUCGGAGGCCCUGUGGGACGUCUGCAAUCAUCAGUUUGUCACCCAUGCUCCUGUUCAACGUCGCCAAACCAUGCGCCAGUUUGUUGAUCUUCCUGAUCCCGUAUUGGACGUUGCAUGCAGCAAAACCCUUCAUCGCAUCUUUCAUAUCCAUGAUUAGGCCAUAGCAGGCAGUCCUGGACGGUUUCUGGGGGGUUAGCUCUGCUAUGAUGUUUUGGUUGUCCAUCUCUAGCACCACCUCACCAUUAAAGUAUCUACUCAUUGUCUGUAGGCCGACAAGGGCCGCACGCGCCUCGACUUCCUCCACACUGCUGCAGAGCGGGAGCUUUUUGCAGACAGAUAAAAAACCAGGCAUCUGUGGUCCCGGGCAACCACCCCCGCCGCACUCUCCCCUGUAUCAGCACAGAAAGCUGCGUCGGAGUUAAUUUUAGUCGUUCCCCGAGCCGGCGGCGCUCUCCACUUGUCCUCUUGGGUGGCGGGAAGCAGCCGGUUCUUUCUCUCUCCCUCAUCCAAAUCGGUGCGUCCUUUCUGCCUGUCAUUAGUCUCCUCUGAACUAUACAGAUCUUCCACAUACUGCUUUAAGAACUGCAUUGAAGCCCGCAUAGAUUCUCUCCCAUUAUUACGCAUGCAGUCCUCUCUGAGGUGCCAGCAUCGCCACAAGAGUAGCAGCAGUUUGGCGCGCAUCUCCUCGUUUUCAGUGUCCAGUGCAACUUGCAGCCAAUCAUCACCGGUGAAUCUCAGCUUGUUCUCCGCAGUUAGUCUCCAAACUUCUCUCAUAGCUGCUUUUAGUGCAUACAAUAACCGCAUGGUGUUCAUCCUCGACACCAUUGCCACAUAAGCUGCAAGUGGCAUCAACUUCCAAUGUUCUCCUCCAUUUGUUCUUCUUGGUGGCCAGGGUAUUAGUUGCAACUCUCCAAGCAAAGAUGCGGAUCUUCCCGGGGACUUUUGUUUUCCAAAUUAGGUCCCAGAUGUUGUGAUCAUUUGGGUCCCUAGAAGAGUUCGACGGGGUAUUCGACACUUGCUCAGGGUUAGAAGCCGCAAGUCUAUAUGCGCUCUUGACUGAGAAAAGGCCAUUCUUCUCAUAAUGCCAAGCAAUGCAGUCGCCCACCUCCGAAGAGGGAAUAUUGAGCUUGCAUGUCUCAUCAGCAUCAAAGGGAUAUAAGAUUUGUCGGAUGAGGGGUUCAUUCCAUUCCUUUCUAUCGGGCAACAUAAGUUGGUUCACCCAACGAAUCCGGGAGCGCCUAAUGAAGGCAGUCGUCAUAAGGCCCUCUUUCCUUGGGAUCCAUUGAUCUCUCUGAAUUUGAAUGCUUUUUCCAUCCCCCACCCGCCAUAUUAGGCCUUUUUUCAACAGCUCCAGACCGAACUCAAUGGCUCUCCAUACCGGGGACGCAUCAUUUGCAAACACUGUGUCCAAAAGGUUCCCAUUUGGGUAGUACUUUGACUUAAGAACUCUUCACAGGCUAUCCGGAUUUUGUAUGAGCCACCAUCCCUGCUUGGCCAGAAGUGCUUGGUUAAACAAGUGCAUGUCUCUAAAACCAAUACCUCCCGCCCUCUUUGGCUUGAUCAUGCGAUCCCACGCCAUCCAAUGUACCUUCCUAUGCCCCUCGUCAUCCCCCCACCAAAAGUUUUGAAUCAUUUUCUCAUAUUUGUCACAGAAGCCUUUGGAUAGCAUAAAGACACUCAUGAUGAAAGUUGGGAGGGCCUGAACAAGCGAUUUCACAUGAACUUCUUUUGUUGCAAAUGACAUAAACUUCUCUGACCAGUCACUACAUCUCUUACCAAAUCUGUCCAUAAUUGGUUGGAACUGCUCAUCUUUCAUUCUCCCCUCGGGAGUAGGCAGUCCAAGAUACUUACUUUCAAAGGUUUUAGCGACCACCCCUAGGAUAUGUUUAAUUUCCUCUCUUAUUUCCGCAUGGCAAACCUCACUAAACAAGAGGGACCAUUUGUUCUGGCUAAGUAGUUGUCCCGUACAUUUCUGGAAAGUAUCCAACGCGUGCUUGAUCACCUUAGCUUUUUCUGGCACCGCCUUAAAGAAAAUCAAAUUGUCAUCUGCAAAAAGAAGAUUUGAUAUACCCGGGCUAUUUCUGGCAAUCUUGAUCGGUCUAAGGUUUUUCACGGCCAGCUCCUUCUUCAACAAUAGCACCAAACCGUUAGCCACAAAGAGGAAGAGAUAAGGGCUUAACAGUUCCCCUUGACGUAAGCCACGGGAGGGGAGGAAGGGUUCCAACAGAUCGCCAUUACACUUGAUCGAAUACCUCACUGACUUGACACAUUGCAUCACCCAAUUGGUCCAUAUGUUGUUGAACCCAACUUUCUGGAGCACACCUUCAAUAAAAACCCAGCUCACCCUGUCAUACGCCUUGGCAAGGUCCAACUUGUAAGCGCAAUAAUUGUCCUUCUCCUUCUUACAGUGCUGGAUCUUAUGGAAGCAUUCAAAAGCGAUGAUGGCGUUAUCCGUAAUCAUUUUGCUCGGGAUGAACGCGCUCUGGGUCUCUGAGAUGAUCCCAUCCAGAAUAGGGCGCAACCGAUUGACGAGACACUUAGAGAUCACCUUGUAGAUGAUGUUGCAUAAGUUGAUCGGUCUAUAGUCUUUGAGAGACUGAGGGUCUUUUCCUUUUGGGAUUAGCAUGAUCACCGUAUCGUUUAUUCCUUCUGACAUGACACCAUCCACAAACAAAGCCCUCACACUUCUGAUCACAUCUUCUUUAAUGUCUCCCCAGUUUCUUUGAAAGAAGCGUGUCAGGAAACCGUCGGGCCCCGGGGCCUUAAGGGGGCCGAUCUGAAAUAAAGCAUCGUUGAUUUCCUCGUCAGUGAACGGCUUAACUAAAUCUUUAUUCAUGUCCAUAGUAACACGGGUAGUUACCAGCUCUAGGAUAUCGUUGGGAUUGGUGUUCUCCUCGUUGGUGUACAGGUUCCUGAAGAAGGCGUUUGUUAACGCAUGCAGACCAACGGUAUCCUACACCCAGUUCCCACUAGCAUCACACAAUUUUUGGAUGGCAUUUUUCUUCUGCCGCCAAGUCGCUUUCCGCUGGAACCACUUUGUGUUCCUGUCCCCUUCAUGGAGGUACGUCGCUCUAGACCUCUGUCUCCACAUGAGCUCCUCCCUUAGAAGCAUUUCAUCUAAAUCCUUGGCUAGUUUUGUUGCUUCCCUCUCGAGAGCGACCGUGGGUGUGGAACACAAAAUUCUGUGGAGCCUCUUCCUGAUCUCAGAUGUUUUCCUUGUAAUCGAACCAAAGUCACGCUUGGCCCGCUUCGUUAGCUCGAUCUGCAUGCUCUUCAACUUAGCUCCAAGCAUGUGCAUGUUCUCUUCUAGGCCACUUCUGCUCCACGACUCUGUGAUUGUUGGCUGAAGGGAGUCCACCCUCUCCCACAUCUGCUCAUAUCUGAAACAUCCCUGUUUACCUUCAGACACAGGCCUCCACUCUUUUAUACUUCCCAUCCGUAGCAAGAUUAGAAGGUGGUUAGAUCAAGAUGAGAAGAUGUGCUCCACCGAGGCAUUAAUAAACAGAUCCAACCACGCCGGAGAGGCCACAAAUCUGUCUAGUCUCGCACGAACAUUAUGGCUUCCUUGAUGCUUAUUGUUGUAAGUCCACCCGGGCCCUUUGAAUCCCAAAUCAAAAGGGUUGCAGUCCGACAGAACCUCUCUAAAAUUCUCCAUAUAUCUCUCAGAUCUAUUAGCAGCCGAGAAGUGUUCAGACUGCCACAUGGUCUUGUUAAAGUCACCUACCAUCAGCCAAGGCAGGUUACUACUGUCCUUUAUUCUUCUCAACAUCGUCCACAUGUGAUGACGCUCUUGGCCUUUGGGUUCACCAUAUACAAAGGUUCCUCUCCGUUAAGAGCUGUGUGGGUUUAGACGGAUCAACACAUCGAUAUACCUCGUCCCCACGGCAAUUUUCUUUAUUUCCACAGACUCAUCAUAAAAGAGAGCAAUGCCGGCACCUUUUCCAGUGCCGUGUUGCGUGAUACAGUGGCGGAGGCCCAGCCUCCACUUCAGGUUCGAAACAUACUUAUUGUUCUGUCGAGUUUCAUUCAAGAAGCCGAGCUUGGGCUUGUAUGUGUGCACCAGACACACUAGUUCUUGAACUGUUCGAGGUUACCCGAGGCCUCGACAGUUUUGGCUCAUGAUCGUCAUGGCUCCUGGUGGGCGCCGUCAUUGGCACCCACCAGGACGCCGGGAGCCCCUAGCCCGGUCGCUUCCUUGCUUUCCACCAUGCCCUCAUACACCGUCCCAGCGGCACAGACCUUCUUGCUCUUAUCCGGUCCACCCUCCAUCUCAGUAGCAGCUGCAAGUUCCACCUCCAACUUAUCCCUACCCCCUCUCUUCCCCGGGAUCGAAGACGCCUGCCCCACCCUUUUCUUUGACCUGAUAUCCUUCAACACUUUGCGGUUGAACAGACCCUCCACCGACCAAACCAUCUCAUGCCUUGUGGUGCGCGUGCCCAGCUCAAAGCCAGGCGGAUACAGCAACUCCUCCUCUACCUCGCCAGAUCCAGCCACAACUUUCCUGUCAUCGCUUGCAGUCAUCACCUCAGGGCCCUGCACAGCAACCUCCACCCCUUGGGCCUGAGCCAUCCCGAGAACAAGGUUGACCAUAGGUGUGUUUCUCUCAGCAAGGCUAGGAGCAGCCUCCACUACGGCAGCCAUAGUGUCGCCAUGGGCGAGUCCCGGGUCUAUCACUUGGACCGGAGGGGCCAGGCUCAGAGCCAGUUUGAUGCCCCCUUCCUCCGCUGGGACGCCCUCGGUGCCCGAUUGCAUGACCUCACUUUGGAUCCCCCCCCCCUUAGACUUUGGCAGCAUGGUCGAUCUCGGAGGAGUCUGGGCUCCGGCCGAGCCACCAUCAUCGGAGACCUUGAGUGCACUAACAGCCGCAAUGGUAGCCUGCACUUGUGGGUUCAGCAGCACCUCUUCAGGGAUCUUCUCACGGGCCGUCCUGUUCUGGUGUGAGCUUCUCUUCCUCUGAACUUCUCUCCCAAAACUCAGGAGGCGGUGGGCGCUGUUCGCCACCGGAGCCACAUGGCCCCCUCUACUGUUGCUUUUCUUAUAAGGGGAGGCUCGCAUUGUUGCCAUGAACCUCAUCUCAUGGAGGUCCUCCGGCAACUUAGAGUCGCGUUGGCCAUGCCCAAGAUAACCACAGUACCCACAGAAUCGAGGCACUCUCUCAUACUUAACCUCUAGGGUAAACACCUUAUCACUAGGAAUAUCUCUAGAUUUUUAUCCUAUCUCUAAGGGGUUCAUCUACAUCAUGAUUAAUGUGAAUCUUAAUGAAAUCCCCCCAUAGCUUACCCCUAGUAUCAGUGUAGACCUCCAGCACCUCUCCCAGCUUAUCACCGAGCUUCCACGCGGCACCUUCAUCUAACAUGAUCGGAGGUAUGUCAUGGACUCGCACCCAGAUCGGCAUGUGUGCAACCUCCACCUCGCCCGGGGGGCGCCUCCAUCAACAGAGACCAUGAGGAAAGCAUCCCCCUGAUGAGUCCAUGGGCCGUUGUCGAGGAUGAAGCGACGAUCGCCCUCGCGCUCGAACUCGAUGAGGAAGUGAUUGUUCUUCAGGGGCUUGUAAUCCAUGCCCCNNNNNNNNNNNNNNNNNNNNNNNNNNNNNNNNNNNNNNNNNNNNNNNNNNNNNNNNNNNNNNNNNNNNNNNNNNNNNNNNNNNNNNNNNNNNNNNNNNNNNNNNNNNNNNNNNNNNNNNNNNNNNNNNNNNNNNNNNNNNNNNNNNNNNNNNNNNNNNNNNNNNNNNNNNNNNNNNNNNNNNNNNNNNNNNNNNNNNNNNNNNNNNNNNNNNNNNNNNNNNNNNNNNNNNNNNNNNNNNNNNNNNNNNNNNNNNNNNNNNNNNNNNNNNNNNNNNNNNNNNNNNNNNNNNNAGCUCUCCAAAGAGCCCUUCGUUGCUGAAUGGCAGGGGCGAGAAGAAGAGACCCACGGCAACCCAAUGGAAUCUCAUGGCUACGCGCUCCUUCGACAGGUCCAGCUCCACCACAUCCUCGCCUCGGCGGUCGAAGUGCGUCGGGAACCUUGGCGCAACAAUGUCGCCCCCCGCUCCGAGCCUCUUCAUGGACUCCCUGCCUCCCUAGGAGCGGGAGGAGUCGCCUCGGAGCAUCCUUCCCGCCUGGUUCAUGCCUCCAGCGAGGCCAGCGCCUGACUCCGCUUCCAUCAGGGCCUUGUCCUUGCGGGAUUCCCUGUUCGCCAUUGCAAGUUGUUGGGCGCACUCGAUCAGAAUGCAAACGGGGAGGGGAUCAGUAGGGUUUGUGAUAGCCUCUAUGUUAUAUCCACUCUUUAUAUACUCCUUCCCCGAUCUGAACUCAGCGAUACUGCAGGAUUCGCUGAUGAUACCUUGCCUUUUGACUGGUACCUUUCCUCGUCUACUGAUUCUGGUAAUCCUCCAAUCUUAUCAGGAGGAUCUGUGUCCUUUGCAUCAGGAGGAGUUGGGUUCACCACACCCGUAAUAUUUCCUCCUAGACCGCGGCCCAGAUCUCUACGCAUGGUAUGAAGUCUUCCCCUGAUUCUCCCCAUGGCUAUACCAUCAAUGGCCUGAGCUUUUAUCGCGAUCCCAGAUCGGUUUUCUCCGCUCUUCUUCCUUUCCAUGGCGAUUUCCUUCACCGCUUUCCUUGUCCGGAGCCAUGCCUCCCGCAGGCCCANNNNNNNNNNNNNNNNNNNNNNNNNNNNNNNNNNNNNNNNNNNNNNNNNNNNNNNNNNNNNNNNNNNNNNNNNNNNNNNNNNNNNNNNNNNNNNNNNNNNNNNNNNNNNNNNNNNNNNNNNNNNNNNNNNNNNNNNNNNNNNNNNNNNNNNNNNNNNNNNNNNNNNNNNNNNNNNNNNNNNNNNNNNNNNNNNNNNNNNNNNNNNNNNNNNNNNNNNNNNNNNNNNNNNNNNNNNNNNNNNNNNNNNNNNNNNNNNNNNNNNNNNNNNNNNNNNNNNNNNNNNNNNNNNAGUCGGGCUACCUAAACUCUUCGCAUGCGUAAGCUCGUGGAUGGGGAUCACAUGUUUUUCGAAAACGAAAUCAGGGACAAAGUUACUUAUGAUUUUAUUUUCUUGAUUCCUUCUGCCUUCUGUGAGAUAUAACGAAAUGUCUUCAUGCAUGACAUGAACUGCACGAUCUACAGACGACACCUUCCUUCCCAACAGCGCUAGGCAACCGCUUUAAAAAAAUAAUUGCCUGAAGCAUGCAUGCUCGCUGUAGGUGCUGCCACGUUGGAUCGUGCAGGCUUCGGGCACAAAUGUGUGGUGUGUAUAGCAACGCUGGAGCUAUAAUGUCAAGGAACAUCCUAUCGUUGAAAAAAAUGUAACAGCGGUGCAACUCUUAACUCCAUGAUCACCCUCAUAAUACUACUGUACAGUCUGUUUAGAUCAUUUUCUGAGGCUGAUUGUAAUGGGGAGUAUCAUAUACUAGUAUCAUGCAUAUGAUACUAGUGUAUGAUACUACCUUCCUAAUGCAUAGUAUCAUAUAUUAGUAUCAUCUAGUACUUUAUUUAUUGUUAUGCAUGACACAAAGUAGCAUAGCAUUUAUUAUGAUACGGUAUCAUGAUAUGAUACUGCACCCUAUCUUUCUUCAUUUAAUGCUAUGGCACCUUAUCAAAAUUGCCUAGUUGGCAUGCAUAAUACUAACUAUGAUACUAUCAUUACAACCAGCCUUAGUGACAACAAGUACGUUGAAAUCAUUCUCUUUUCUUAAUGGCUUUAUUGUGAAGAUCAGAGACAACAGUUGCAGUCUGCACGAAUAAGACUUGAAAGGACAGGGUGUCGUUGGUAGGCAAUGGAAAACGCACUAUACAGUGACGAGUGUCCAUAUUGGUUUCUUUCCCACGCUGUUUCACCAGCCAAGAACACAAGUCCCCUCACCAAGAUGCGGGAUGUUCGAUGAUAAGAUUUAUAUGUCAACUAGCAUAUAUGUCGUGCGUUGCAACGCAGAGAUAUUUUCUGAGAAGCAACAAGAGAGAUAAAUUAUGUGUUCACCAAAAACGAUAUCCAUAGUGGUGGGGCGACAGAGCAAGGAGUUGUGGUCUUCUCGCGAGUCAUGUUUGUCCCACAAGAUGUUAAUAGUGGUGGGCAUGGCAGCGACUAUACCUGGCCAAACCUCGGGCCGGGCCUAGCCAAGUCCGAGGCAAAAAACCUAGGCCCGGGCCCGGCCCGGCCAUCGGGCCUGUUUUUUGGGCCCAAGCCCGGCCCGAACGCGUAAAAGCCCGCCGGGCCUCGGGCCUCGGGCCGGGCUCCUUCAGAAAAGCGCAAAAACAACGGGCCCGGCCACGGCCGGGGAGCACAAUCGGCCCGGGCCGGCGGGGCCGGGCUUCCCAUCGCCAAGACUAGUGGCGACCACCCAACUUGUGUUUUUCCCCUUCAGGUUCACCUUUGUGUCAGGGUUGUGGUUGUCUCCUCAUUUGGUAGUUGUGCGGCGACCUUCGUUGCACUUGCUUCGACCACUCUCUCCUACGAUAACGUAACCAGAUAGAUUACUAAUUGCAACGCAUAAAUUCCAUUUUAUUAGCAUAAUCCACGGAUAACCAGACAGUCCCUUCUUUAUCAGGGUUUAUUCUCUUUAAUUGUUCUAGCGCUCAUGUGCCCACAAUUCUUCAUAAUUAGAUCCAAACCAACAUAUUCUUUCUAUUGGCACGCGCCCACAAUAUUUUUUUGAUUCAAUAUAUCAGUAUCAAGGUUUGAAAUUGCUGACCAGCCUGUCGCCUGGUCGCCACAAUAUAUUUUAAUUAUAGCCAAGAAGCAUAUAUUCUUUUUUAUCGUUAAAUAGCGUGUGGACGCACAACAGUUCAUUGGCAGCCCAUUGGCAGGCACCAAAACGACCAAUGUUUGUAAGGCACAAUAUAAAUUUUUAACUAGCGACCUCAAAAACUCGACCAUGGGCUGCUAGCCACUCGAACAAAUGGGUCCUGCUAACCAAUGGCCAACCCAAAUGUUUAAGAAUAUGCAGCGUCAGAUUCAAAUCUUUUUUUUGUUUUUUUGCUGAAUUUUUCUGAAAAUAAAUUAAUAUUUAUGAGUUGCCGAAUAUUUUUGGAAACAUGAACAAUUGUUGAAGCCCCGAACAGUUUUCAAAACUACGAACCUAUUUUUGAAAAUUGCGUUCAUUUUUUGGAAAAAGACAAACAUCAUUUGAAAUAGGUAGAUUUAAAAAAAUCAUAACCAUUUUUUGACAACAUGAACCUUUUGAAAAAACAUGAACAUUUUUAGAAUGUGUGAACAUGUUUUGAACAUUUAGAACAAGUCCAGAAAAUGUGUUUUUUAACAGUGAACAUUAUUUUGAAUUUGUGAACAUUUCACUAAAACAAGAAUAAUUUUAAAAUAUGGAAUAUUUUUAAAAUGCAACUUAUUUUGAAAAUCUUGAUUUUUUGUAAUACACAAACUUUUUAAAAAAUGGUAACUGUUUUAAUUUUGAACACAUUUUGCAAUGGGAACAAAAAAGUAAAGCUUUGAAAAUUUUACAAGAUAGGAAUUUUUAAAAAAAAUCUGAUUCCUUUUCUAAAAUAUGGUAAACUUUGAAAUUUUGAACGAUUUUUUCAAGAUUUUAAUUUACGAGAAAAGGGAAAAUAAUCUAAAAUUGGUAAGAAAAAAAUGAUGAAAGAAAAAUAGAAAGGAACAGAAAAAAUUAGAAACAGAACAUAGAGAAAAAGAAAAUGGUCCGGCCCAGUCUUGGGCGUCCUGUGCGAAGCUCCACUUAUUCGACGCUGCAUGCGGCAAAUAGUCUUUCACAGCUGUCUGGGCAGAUAAAUAAGUGGGCUGGCUUCGUCGGCCACAGCGUGCUCAGCGCAUGUACGAAAAUUGUUUUAUGUUUUUUCUAGCAGACGGAUGCACAAAAGUUUAGUACGACCUCUGAUAGAAAAAUAAUUUUACGUCAGUGAACGGAUGAAAAAAUUGGAGAAACGCACCUUACUUUAUUAGUAGGUAUAGGUACAUAGAUAUAGAUAAGAGCACACCCCACCAAAAAAAAAAACAAAGCACACCAACAAUCGUCAUAAAUCAUUCAUCAUCACGACGAGUUUCCACCCUUCAAGCGACAACGCAAAUACAUCGACCAUAAGACUAAAAUAUCUUUUUUCUUUGCGGGGACACAAGACUAGAAUAUUACCAGUUCCAACACAUAAAAAUUGAACAAAUUGGCACAAAGUCAAUCAACCCAAAAGGACGGCCAAAUAAACAUUGAUUGAAGUCGGAUCCAAACAAACUUUGAAAGGCGAUCUGAGCAGAAACAAUAUGCACUCCUCAAGAGAUAUCCUGACAAAUUGGUCAUCCUCGGUGAAACAAAGAUGACCAAACCAGAAUGGCAUAAAACAAUUUCGGGUCCAGCUGAACUGAAGCUGAUGUUCAUAUAUCAGAAAGCCUUAACAGUAGACCAUGUUAAACUACUAUUGUUACAUUACUAUAUCACAGUUUCAACAGAUAUGGAAAUUGUGGUUCGAGUUGAAUUGAAAAUGUUGUCCAUAUAUCAGAACCUUAACAAUAGAUAUUAAACCACUGUUACCUUACUAUAUCACAGUUUUAGCUGACAUGAAAGUACAGCACAGAACUGAAUCUACAAAUGCAACGGCGGUCUUGGCCAUUCCAGGUCCACCCAAACAACAAGAUAAGUUCUACUAAACUAGAUCUAGAGAUUAAGAACAAGAAUAUAAACUUACAUAUACUGUCGAAAACAUAGGUUGGUAUACCAACAAUUAUUUACAAACAGAGAAAUAGAAGAGACCAGAAUCAACAUACUCAAAUAUUCAAAAUAGUUCCAACAAAACGGUCAAGUUUCCAUGAUUAAGUACUAGAGUAUUACAGCUGCAUGGCUGCCAAUAACAACAUAAACACAAGCAGACUACUAAGUUGACUGAAUAGCUAGCAGCAUAAGUCAGGUACAUGACUUCACUCAAGCACCAAUAGCUUAUCACAACUUACCCAAAUUACUGUUGCUCAUAUUCAAGAUCUAACUUCGCUAUCAUUGUGCUUCAAGGUCCAAUAAUCUUCACUACUAGAAUCUUCAAGGACCCAGAUUGAUACUUCAGCAGCACCAUAAUUUGCGACAUACAAUUGUCCACGUGAUGCAUAAAUAUAAGGACCACAGCGAGCAUCAUUUAAAGUAGGAACAGGAAUGAAACGACAGUUUCCCUCCACGUCGAUGGCUGCAACCAAAUUAUUAUAGGAACAUAAAUACAACACCCCACUGAGAAAUGUGCCACCUGAAAAGUUGCGUAUCUCAAUUGGAUCGUCCCAUUCAAUUUGAUGUGUCCAACCUCCAGCUUUGGACGAGUAGAUCCCCACCUCUUCGAUGUCAUAUUCAUACUUCAAAUUCCAAUUCAAAGCCACAGCAGGUACCAACUCGAACACAUAGAAAUGGGAGGAGACGGCCGGAUCAAAUCCCAGGCGAGCAUACGAUUCCGAGGACCAUUCAUUGGCAGGGAAGGUUACCCAUUUCUCAGUGGCAGGAUUGCACACCACAUAAUCCGGUUCCUCGGGAUAAGGCUUCGAACGUCGACAGAGGAGGAGGCCGUUGCAGCAGUCCAACAAGUCAAUCUCCUCGCAUUUUGGCAGGAACGAGAGGGAGGCGUCAAUGGGGCACCAGUUCCCUGAGACGCUUCGGUAACCAUGCAAAUCAUGUGGACGGCUGGCCAUGUCGUAGGUUUUGUAGAAGAAGCCGGCGAGGGUCGACCGGGGAAGCUUCUUGCGGUGGUCGGGGUGGGCGAUGAGGUCCCGCCAGCGCGUGGAGACGCACUUGCAGCCAUGGGCGGAGCUGGGCCCCAGGCAGCCCAGGCCGUUGCCUGGGGCGUGGGAAAUUUUCUCAGCCCAUAUACAAAAAAACACUGUUCGGCCUGGGGCGCAGCCCACUUCUUAGCCCAGGCAGCCUGGGCCAACUGGCCCAUCCACCCAGGUCAGUGCCUUUCCCUGGCGCGUGCGUGUGCUACUCACGAGGGUUUGGACGAACCUGUCUGCCGCCCCUUCCCCCAACUUGACGAACCUAGGCGAGGCCGGUGGUCGCGUCCCUACCCGUCGGCGCCGCCCGCCGCCCCGCCGCCGGCUGUCGUCGUGCUACCCAUCCAGCCGCCCCCAAUCCCCUUCUGCGCCUCUGCCUAUACACCUAUCCAACCGCCCGCCCCCAGUCCGGCGAGGCGGUGGCCCCGGCGAACUGCCGGCAAGGUGGCCGAGGUGGCCCUUCCUUGGAGGCGCCUUUUUCUCAACAGCCGCGUCACAGAGCAACUCGACAGCAGCAAGGCAGCAAGAGGAAAGCGCAAAUGGUCGUAUCUCUUCCAAUUUCCAAACCUCAAUUUUUGUUUGUAGAUGCCACUAUUGCUAGAUGAUGAUUUUUGUCAGUUGCUAGAUUAAACCGUUGCUGCUAGAGGCCAAUGUUUGUUAGAUACUUAGAUGCGAAAAUAAAAUUUGACAUUUAGUAAUUUUGCGGAAAUCCCUUUUGGAGCUCGGGCUCCAGUGAGGCCUCCAGAUUCAGAUUUGAAAUUUCAUUGAAAUUUGUAUGUUUACAUCUCAAAAAAUUCUGAAAAAAAAUCACAGAUAUACAUGAAGGCAUAAUACACAUGUGUGUAAAUUUUCAGUUCAAAAUACAUUGAAAUGAGGGCUGUGCAAAAAGACAAAUAUGGGGCUGUUUAACACAUGAUACUAUUCAUCCUUCCAUGCCAUGGAUUUGUCUUUUUUGUACAGGUCGCAACUCAAGGUAUUUCAUCAUGAAUUUUUACACACAUGUGAGUUACAUUCUUACAUACACGCAUACUUUUUUCAGAAUUUUUUGAACCAUAAAAGUUUGAAUUUGAAUUUUUUAAAAAUAAAGGCCUUCAUGGAGCUCGGCCUCCAAAACGCCUUUCUCGUAAUUUUGUUCCUAUAUUACUGCUAGAGGCCAUUGAAUAUCAUGUUUGUUAGUAACUUUGUUGCAACAUAGAUUGACUUUUGUAUGCCUUCAAACUGAAUUUUUUUGGUAGUUUUUAGCCUUUGGUUUCUCGCCUGGGGCGUUAGCAAAUCCUGGCUCCACCACUGCUUGCAGCAGCGGGUGGACUUGAACGGCACGCGCGAGAUGAUCUCGACCAAGAUGUCGUCGGGGAGCUUGGCCGUCGGAUCGCUGAUGAGGGCCGUCUCCAUGGAUCCCGUCGCCAUCUCCAUGGAUCCCAUGAGGGCGGCAAAUCUGCAGAUCGGGGAGGAGGAAAGGUUAGAGAGAUACGUCCGGCUAGCAGUGAGGGGAGAGUGAAGGAAGAGAGGAACUACCAGAUGCGUGGCGCGCGAACAGCGGCGAGAGCGCCGGCGUUGGGUGCUGCCAUCCGCGCCGGCGAGUGGGUGGCGGCGAGGCGGUGAGGGUUUGGUUUGGGUGCGAGGCGGUGAGAUGGAAUUUUUUUUUUUGAGACAAAGGCGGCGAGAUGGAUGGACGGAUGCUGCGGAACUGGGCUGGAACCGGAAGGACGGGCGUGUGAAGUUAUCUGGGCUUUUUACUGGGCCGUGUGAGUCGCACUAUUUCGCACACGUACACCAUUUUGCGUUUCUAAAAAAAAACGUACACCAUUUUGCAGUCCCUCAACAAACAAACAUACACCAUUUUGAAGUCCUAAUACAAAAAAAAGUAGAUCGAGGAGUGGGAGCCGUCCCUUAAUUAUUUUUUGAAUUCUCGUAUAUCCUUGUUUUUUGCGUAGGUUUUGGUCUCCUGGCAGCAUCGGCGAGGUAGUGGCAGAAUCUACCUUGACAACUUCUGAUCCGGUGGCGACGAAGGGCAUGUAUGAAUUUUGUGUUGCCUAUUUGUUAGUUCUUUUCAGAUCUUGAUAAUUUAUGUGUUAAUCAAGGGAAGUCAUUGACUGACUCUUGUCACAGAGACUUCGACCUCCUUCUUUCAUUUGCUUCGCAGCAUGGUCUUGAUAGUUUCACCAACCCUCUGGACUAGUGGGAAACAUUGCAAGCUUGCACUGCAUGGGGCAAGACCCUAGCCGAUGUUCAUUUGGCAGUUAUUAGAUCUUGUUUCUAGCAUUUAAAGCCUGGUAUGAAGAGGAUGUACAUUUGCAAGUGUCCCUUUCCUCUACCGCCAGUUUAGUGCAAUUUUCAGGCUUUGACCGACAGCAUACUCUCUCUGUUUUUAUUUACUCCGCGUAUUAGCUUUGGUCAAAGUUAAUGUAAACAUUGACAAAGUUUAGAGACAAAAAUAUUAACAUAUACAAUAACAAAUCAAUACCAUUAGAUUCAUUAUUGAAGGUACUUUCACAUCAUAUAGAUUUUUAUGGUAAAUGUUUAUUAUUAUUUUCUCUAAACUUGAUCAAACUUUGCAAAAAUUGACUUCAAUCAAAUCUAAUAUGCAGACUAAAUAAAAACCGAGGGAGUACAAUCUUAGGAAGAAGGCAGCCAGUAUGUUUUUGGGUGUAAUUUUAUCUUUUGCAGGUCAAUUUAUGUCAUGUUGUCUUUUCACUGUGCUGAUUACUGUUUUCCUUGAUAAUUAUCAGUAAGUUAUCCUUUGGGUAUUAUUUUCUAAAUUAAAUAAAAUAGGCCAUGACAAGAAAUUAGAGGAAUAUUUUCACCCGGUAAUUGGUCAAACUGACACAAAGAUAACAGGCAGUGCUGGAAAGAUAUCCUGGCAACUUCGUCAUCCUGGUCCUUUACUCAUGUCUAUGUAGCCGAUUCAACUGUCUUUCCACAGGAAGGUACGUAUCACUUGGCAAUAAUGACAAGUCUGAGGUUGAGCAAACAAUAAUAAGUUGGCAUGUAGAUAAAUCUGUAAAUUAUGUGCUCAAUAUUACCAUAUAUGAUCCUUAGCGAUAGGUCAAGUUAAACUUCUAUUUGCCGCAGCUUGAGCAGAAAUGAUGAAAAAAAAAAGAUCAGAGCCAAAACUGCAGAACGAAGGGCUCCCUGAUCCUGGAGGCUCUAGAAACUGAAGCCACCGCCGGCGUCGUACCCUAACGAUGAGUUGGAGAUCACGCGGCUAAUGAUGGCCCACCGAGCAGCUAGUCCUGGAGGCAUCGCAUUCCCAUGCCGCACAUUUCAAGUAAAGAAGGUAAUCAACAUCCUACACAAACUUGUGUAUUACUGGGACUGUAUCCAACAGCCUGCGUCUCUGCUAACUGUCCUGUACAUGAGGCUAAUUUUCUUCUUGUACUUCGCCUGGUAAAGAAUUUUCAUUUUCUCCACUGCUGAUGAAUCUGCCGACACAAACAUAACUUUGUCAUCCUGGUCGAGAGAUGUUCUGGCAACUUUGCCAUCCUGAUGCAGCAUGCCAACCCCACUAUGUAUGAACAUAUGCAGGUCAAAUUGUCCUCCAUUAUCCAAUCUGAACUUCCUCCAGAUAGAUGUCACUUGACAGAAAAUCAGAAGCCCGAGGUGGAGCAAAUAAUAACAAGCUUCUCUGUUGAUAAAUCUGCUAGUUAUGUAGAUCAUAAAAUUCCUAGCAAGAACAGGGUGAAGUUACAAUUCUGAGUAGGAGUGCCCCCAUGACUGAACCAACUGAACGGGCAACUCAACUUCUAUAUAUUAGAAACUGCAGCUGGAGAACCACGCUUCAAAGCCGGUGAAGGUGACAGAAAGAUAAUCGAACCAGAAUGGUGAAAAAUCACUUGUGCUUCACGUUAAACUGAAACGGCAGUUCAUCUACCGGAAAGCCUUAGCAAUAGAUCGUGCUAAGCUACUGCUAUUACAUUACCAUAUAUCACAGUUUAAGCACAUGAAAAUAAAAAACAAAGACCGAAUAAUCUUAGGCUCUAGUAAUGCAACAGCACUUCCAGGUCCACCCAAACAGGAAAAUCUUAGGCUCUAGGGUAGAGCUUGAGGUUAAUAAGGAGGAAAUAACCUUUAGCGCACUAAAAAUAAUAAUCCACAAACAGAUAAAUAAGCAGAGACAAUAAUGUAGACAUCAAUACUCAUAAUAACUGCAACAAGACGAUCAAUUAUCCUUAAUUAGUUUAAUAGUAGGGUAUUGCAGCUGCUAACAUAUAUGACCAAACAGAGUUUUAGUUAAGUUUACUGAAUAGCUUGCCUCAUAAAGUGUGGUACAUGAGUCCACACUUAUAAAGAUCUACCCAAAUCACUGUUGUUCUGCUCGUACUCACGAUGUAACACUCAUAUCAUCAGAAAGAUGGACAAUUGUGAGGCUCCAAUACACAGGACAUUUAGUGCCCAUCUGCUAAUGACUCCGAGAACAAAGGAACAUAUGAAAGAUAAGCCCGCCUGACAUACCAGCCAAGAUCAGAUACGAAACACAGCUCCCUAGAAUCCACGUCGUAUGAAAAUAAUUUCACAAGCUCUUGGAACCCCGAUCUCAAUCCUAUGGUUAUGAAUACCAUAUUGUGUUCUGGGUGUGCUGAGAUAACACCAUAAUAUGGCAUGCGGCUUGAAUACCCUUCUCCAAACAGUUGCAAGUAGUUGACAUUGAGCUUCAAGGUCCAACAAUCUUCGCUACUAGAAUCUUCAAGAACCCAGAUUGAUAGUUCAGAAGCACCCCUAUUUGUGAGAUGCAAUUGUCCCAGUGAUACAUAUACAUUAGGAACAAUAGGAGCAUCAUGAGAAGUAGGAAGAGGAAUGAUCCUACAAUUUCCCUCCACAUCGAUGGCUGCAACCGAAUUAUUAUCAGAAGGUAAAUACAACACCCCGCUGAGGAAUGUGCCACCUGAAAAGUAGCGUAUCUCAAUUGGAUCGUCCCAAGCAAUUUGAUGUGUCCAACCUCCAGCUUUGGAAGAGUAGAUCCCCACCUCUUCGAUCCUAUAAUCAUGUCCACCUUUGAUAGGUACCAACUCAAACACAUGGAAAUGGGAGGAGACGGCAGGGUCGAAUCCCAGGUGAGCAAACGACACAAUCCGGUUGGCAGGGAAGGUUACCCAUUUCUCAGUGGCAGGAUUGCACACCA